GUUAAGUUGGCAGAUUAGUGCAUUUGAUUUAGAAUCAAAAUAAGAAUUAAUUAUUUACUUAAUA
rnacentral:tRNA from 1 species